AUGACCUUCCUGCUUGUGGAGUCAGGCCUUGGGACUUCUUCCUUCGCCGUGGGGGGGCGGGAGGGGGUCCUGGUGCCCACAGGCCCCACAGCUUUAAGGGGGAGUCCGAGUGUCCUGUGCAGCCCGCAGAGGCAGCCCCGGCCUGUCGCCCUCGGCCUAUGCCCCCGAGUGAGGCAGCGGGGACCUGGGCUGCUGUCCCCAGCCUUCUGCUUACAGCCACGACCAGGGCAGGAGGACCUCACCACCGUCAGCUUUAAAGUGGGGUCACGGCAAGAGGGUGACAUGGACGCUGGGGGCGCCGAGUGUAGCAGAGGACCAGGCGGGGGGCCGGAGGGCGAUGGCUCCUUCCCUCAUUCCUUCCCUCCCAGCCCACAUCUGGGUGCCCGCCGCGCCUGCUGUGUCCCCGGCCCCCGACCGGCCCCCGACCGUUCCCUUGAGACACUUCAAGCCGCUGAGUGGAGGGAGGGUCCCCGCCCCCCGGCUGGCUCAGUGCGCUCUUCCUCCCUGGCAGAUGUGCCUUCUCUUGGACGUCCGGCAGCCUCCCAGGUCCCCCGUCCUCUCCUCCUUUCCUCUCCCCGAGCCACGCUCCUUGUUCUCUUUCCCGCCGGCUUCCUGAAACAGCUGCCCCCCACCCCCGCCCCGGCCCCCGCCCGCAGGUGCCUCCUUGGCCGCCUCACUUCCCGGACCCCAGAUGGAGGCUCACGCUUCUCGCCGUCCCUGAGACCCCCUAGGGCAGGGCCGUCCCCGGGACAGAGCUGGGAUGCCAGCUACAUGUGGACUCGAACAGUUCCUAGCAGCGGCCUUCAAACAGCAAAAAGAGACAAGUAAGAUCAAUUUUGAUAAUAUAUUUCAUUUAACUCAAUAUGUCCAAACUAGUAUCAUUUCAACCCAUAACGUGGAGUCAAUAAAAGCAUUAUUAGGGGGAUGUUUCCAUUCUUUUUUUUUUUUUUUUUUUUUUUUUUGGUACCAGCUCCUGGAGCCCCGAGCGUAUUCCUGCUUCUAGCACAUCCCCGAACCACGCGUGCUCGGUAGCCAUGUGCAGGCAGUGACGGUGGCAUCGGAUGACACACAUGCAGCGUGAGUGCUCCAGCAGUCACUGAUGACACAUUUCGAGAAUCCAAGGGAAGGCUCAGGGGAGCUGGGUUUGGAGUUUCUGCGAUAAAAGUAGGCAGGGCCCCGGGGAAGGGACAGCCAGCUGCUCUGCCCGGCGUAGGAGACAAGGGCGCUCAGACUAGUUUCAGAGCAAAGAGGGGACGUCUCUCAAGGUGGUCGAUGGCCUGUAGACUCCUCGGGGGCUGAGGCUCCAGACUCCAGGGUGAGGCUUCAGGGCUAGGUUCUACGAUCACACAGCAGAGGAUUUAGAAAAGGGGAGAAGUUUCUCUUUACAACACGGAAGGGGGUGAGACUUUGGAAGUCUGGCUUUGCCACGUGAAAGGUGGAAACAGUGUCCGUAUUAGUCCAGGCCGCCGUCAAGGUCCCGGCCACCAUCAUGGUCCUGGUCACCGUCAAGAUCCAGGCCGCCAUCAUGGUGCAGGCUGCUGUCAAGGUCCUGGCCACCGUCAUGGUGCAGGCCGUUGUCAAGGUCCAGGCUGCUGUCAUGGUCCAGGCCACCAUCAAGGUCCAGGCCGCCGUCAAGGUCCAGGCUGCCGUCAUGGUGCAGGCCGCCGUCAUGGGCCCGGCCGCCUUCAUGGUCCAGGCCACCAUCAUGGGCCCGGCUGCUGUCAAGGUCCAGGCCACCAUCAUGGUGCAGGCCGUCAUCAAGAUCCAGGCCACCGUCAAGGUCCAGGCCGUCGUCAUGGUCCAGGCCGCUGUCGUGGUGCAGGCCGCCGUCAUGGUCCAGGCCGCUGUCAUGGUCCCGGCCACCAUCACGGUCCAGGCUGCCAUCAAGGUCCAGGCUGCUCUCAUGGUCCUGGUCACCGUCAUGGGCCCGGCCACUGUCACAAAGUUCCUCCGACGGGGAGGCUCAAACAACAGACCCGUGUUGCUAAUAGUUCUGGAGGCUGAGAAGUCUGAGAGCGAGGUGCGGGCUGACCCGGUUCCUGGUGAGGACCCUGCUGGCUGCGACGGCUGCCUUCCCGCAGUGUCCCCGCGUGGUGGGAGAGCGAGGGGGCAGGAGCAAGCUGUCUGGCGUCUCCCCUCUAAGGGUGCUAACCCCUCUGUGGAGGCCCCACCCUCAUAACCUCAUCUACUCACCUCCCAAAGUCCUACCCUCAAAUCCCAUUGCACUGGGGGCCAGGGCCUCCAUGUAUGAGUUUUGGAAGGACACGAUGCAGCCCGUUGGUGCCUUUCAAUCUGUAAGAUCACCAGGGUUGCUGAGAUGCAGGGGAGCCUGUGGAAUAUAGCGGGUUUGGGGGAGGGGGCAUUCCAACGCCGCCAGAAGGGGAGGCACGUUGGAAGGGGGUUGAAUGGUGCUGGCGUCGUCUAAACGGGCAUCACCCGAGGGUCUGAGUGGACCACGUGGAGCUGAUGCCCCACCACAGACACCCUCAGCAUCCCUCACUAACACGAACCCCUACUGCUACUGUUAGUUCUCGUCUAUGUGUGUGCGUGUGUGUAUACGCGUGUGCAUGUAUGUGUGUGUAUGUGUAGCACACGCAGGGGGAAGGGCAGGGGGAGGGGGUAGAGAGAAUCGCAAGCAGCCUCCACCCAGCAUGGAGCCUGAUCCAAGACUUGAUAUCAUGACCCUGGGACCAUGGGAUCCCUGGGUGGCGCAGCGGUUUGGCACCUGCCUUUGGCCCAGGGCGCGGUCCUGGAGACCCGGGAUCGAAUCCCACGUCGGGCUCCCGGUGCAUGGAGCCUGCUUCUCCCUCUGCCUGUGUCUCUGCCUCUCUCUCCCUCUCUCUGUGUGUGACUAUCAUAAAUAAAUUUUAAAAAAAUGACCCUGAGACCAUGACCUGGGCCAAAAUCAGGAGUUGGAUGGUUAACGGACUGGGCGCCCCUAUUUAUUUUUCACAGAUCUUAUUUUUAUUUAUUUCAUUUUUUUAAAAAUUUAAGAAACAUUUUCUUUAUUUGAGGUAGAGAGAGAAUGAGGGACAGAGAGAGGAUGAGCAGCAGGGAGGGGAGAGGGAGAGGGAGAGGCAGACGCCCCACUGAGCAGGGAGCCCGACGCAGGACUCGAUCCCAGAACCUUGAGAUCAUGACCUGAGCUGAAGGCAGAUGCUCAACCGCUGAGCCCCCCAGGGGCCCCUCCAGGUCUUGUAUAUUUUAAUCAAUAUCUAUUAACACCCAGAAAAAAUAUCGAGAUCCUUCUUGACACGUAGCUCCAUGACUUGUUCUCCCACUUGCCAUAUUGUUGAACCUUCUCUCAUGUCAAUAAACGUUCACACCAUCAAUUUAAAACCACUCCCCAUAUUUCAGUCUGGAUAAAACCAUAAUUUAUUGAACCAAAUGCCUAUUGUGAGGAUUUUUUUUUAAAGAGUAAAUGUAGGGGAUCCCUGGGUGGCGCAGCGGUUUAGCGCCUGCCUUUGGCCCAGGGCGUGAUCCUGGAGACCCGGGAUCGAGUCCCGCGUCGGGCUCCCUGCAUGGAGCCUGCUUCUCCCUCUGCCUGUGUCUCUGCCUCUCUCUGUGUCUCUCAUGAAUAAAUAAAUAAAAUCUUAAAACAAAACAAAAAAGAAAUAACCCUUUUAGUGAGAACUUGCAAUCAGAAGCGGAGGCGCCGUCCUUAGGCCUUGUUGAGAUCCUAGUGGCCUUAAGGCGAAAGUGUUCAUGCUCACCACAGUCAAGGCUACAUCACUGAGAACAAAGCAGAAAGUCAUAUUUUAGAGAAUCAGCUUUCAAGGGCCUUCCUGCAGCUUCCCGGGAGCACAAGACAGAUUUGCAACAGAACCAGGUGGUAGUUCCUAGGAAACACACCCCCCCGAAGAGGGGGAAGCUCACUGCACGUCUUGUUAGAGAGAGCUCCUGCAAUACGGCGUUUCCAGGGACGUGCUUCGGUUCAAUGUAAAACAGGUCUCGUUUCCACCUCCAACCAGACUCGGCCCAACCUAUUUCUGUUUCUGUAAAUCUUUGGAAAAUAAAAACCAAACAAUAACAAAAUCCCCAUCUCUUCUCUGUGGGCGAUCCCCAGCGGUCUUCUCCGGUCGUUUCUCUUGAGCCUUAGAUGGGACGCUAGCUGGAUGCUCUGCUGGGACCCCAGGUUCAAGAUGCUGUCAUGUCAUCAGAUCCUCCUCUUCUGACGAUUGUUUUGAGACUUUAUUUAUUUAUCUUAAAGAUUUUAUUUAUUUAUCCAUGAGAGACACAGGCAGAGGGAGAGGCAGGCUCCUCGUAGGGAGCCCGAUGUGGUUCUCGAUCCCAGGACUCCAGGAUCACGAUCUGAGCCGAAGCAGACGCUCAACCACGGGCCCCCCAGGCGUCCCUAAGACUUUAUUAAGUCAUCCCUACACGCAGUGUGAGGCUCAAGCUUGCAACCCCGAGAUUAAGAGCCACAUGCUCCACCAACUGAGCCAGCCAGGGGCCCCCUUCUUCCUAUCUGAAUAGCUGACUUCACUGAGCCUGCCCGGGCUCAGUUUCCCCAGAGGCAGGCCCAGGGAACACGGGCCGGGAGGAGCGACUUGGAAAAGGAAGGGGAAGGAAGGCUCCGAAAGGGGUGUUGAGGAGGAGGUGAGCACUGUGGGCAGCCAGACUCGCUUCUGGGGACCUCUGGAGCCUUCUCAGAGCAGAGUUGCCCGGCGAGGGGUGAAGAAGCCCCGGAUUUCUCUGCCAAUUUUUUUUUUAAAGAUUUAUUUAUGUAUUUGAGAGAGAGAGAACGAGCGCAGGAGCAGGGAGAGGGGCAGAGAGAGAAUCUUCCAGUGGACUCCGCACUGAGAGCACAGCCCUUGCUCCAUGAGCCGAGCUGGAAUCGAGUCGGAUGCGUAACCGACUGAUGCUGUCGGCAGCUCUUGACCUUCAUCCCCGUGAGCGUUGCAAGGGUCUAGGCAGAGGGCGCAGGGUCUGGGGAAGGACCCACAGAGGGUCGGUUGUGGGGAGCUUUGGCUUCGGCACGAAGGGCGCGUGCCAGGGACCCCGAGGGGCGCCCGCAGCAUCCGGCACCCCAGGCCUCAUGCUAUUGGAGGGC
rnacentral:lncRNA from 1 species